UUUCCGUAGGUGAACCUGCGGAAGGAUCAUUAUCGUACAAAAUGUGUAGAGGCAUGCCAGGGUUGUCGCUGACCAAAAAGUUGUGCACGCCACAGUGUGUCCUCUCACAUAACAAUCCAUCUCACCCUUUGUGCACCACCGCGUGGGCACCCUCUGGGAUCGCACCGAUCUCAGAGGGGACUCGCGUUUUCACACAAAAACCCCCCUUUGAAAAAGUAUAGAAUGUCCUCAUUUACGCAAUCAAUACAACUUUCAACAACGGAUCUCUUGGCUCUC
rnacentral:misc_RNA from 1 species